UGUCUAAUAAUAUUAUGGAAUGUAUUAAAUUUGUGUUUAAUAUAACACAAAAAGUAUAUAAAGGGAUUAUUAUUAGUAUCUUAGCUAUAUAUUAAAGGAAGAUUAUUUUUAAUUUGUGAAAGUGUAUUUAACUUAGCACAUGAAUCCUUAGAGAAAUUAAAUAAUAAACGAAGUGAAUUGAAAUAUCUAAGUAACUUUAGGAAAAGAAAUCAAAAGAGAUUCUAUGAUUAGUGUGAAUGAAAGUAGAUGAGCCUAUAUCAGUAUAUGAUAUUAUUAAAGUUAAAUAAACUAAAUAGAUGAUGGCUUUUUAAUGUUAUAUUUAUAUAGAUAUAUAAUAAGUAAAACGGAGUAUAUAUCUGUUUAAAAAAAGGGGAACCUUCCUCUAAGGCUAAAUAUAAUGUAUAAGCGAUAGAGAAUAGUACCGUGAGGGAAAAGACGAAAUAGUAAUUCUAUAAGCAGCUCGAAUAUUAAGUAAUAAAAUAUAAGAGCGUACCUUUUGUAUAAUGGGUCAGCAAGUUAAUAUUAGAUGCGAGCUAGAUAAAAGCGAAGAUAAACUAACUAUGACCUACUGAUUAGUAUCUAAUAUUAGACCCGAAAUCUAGUGAUCUUACCAUUAUCAGGAAUAAAGUCCGAACGGGUUAUCGUUGUAAAGAUAUCCGAAGAAUUGUGGUAAGUAAGUGAAAGACAAAACUGACUAGACAAUAGCUGGUUUUCUACGAAACCUAUAUUAGUAGGCGGUUAUAAUAAUAUCAAGGCAGGUACAGCGAUGUAAUCUUAAUAUACGAUUUAAUAAAUUUUAUAUUAUUGCGGGGGCCUGAGAAUCCUACAAUUAAGUAUUUGCACUCGAAAGGGCUUUGAUAAAUGUUAGACUGUCAGACAUAGUACGAUAAGGUUGUAUGUCUAAAGGGAAACAGCCCAGAACAAGAGUUAAUAAGGUUCCUAAAUUAUUGUCAAGUGAAAUAAAGGUAGUGUUUAUCUUAUCCGGCCAGGAAGUGGGCUUAGGAGCGGCCAUCUUUUAAAGACCUCGUAAUAGAGCACUGGCUUAUAUAUUAAGGGCGCCUAAAAUUUAACGGAUCUAAACAAUAUACCGAAACCUUGUCCAUAUAUAAUAUAUAUGGGGUAGUAGAACAUAGGGUAAGUAUUAGACUUUUUCUUUUAAAGAACUAGAAUUAGACGACCCCAGAGAUAAUGCUGACAUGAGUAACGAUAAAGGGAUAAUAUCCCUCGCCUUAAGCUUAUGGUUUUUUUAAUGUAACGGCCACUAAGUGUUAACUCUAAAGGGUUAUACGAUGAUAAUAUCAUAAUUAUAAGAUAAUAACUUUAUUUAGUGAAUAAAGUGCAGGAAAAACUUAUGAUUUAACAUACCGUACCUAAAUUCUACCUCCAGUAAGCUAGUAGAGUAUACGAAGGCGUUUGAGUGAACAAUUAUAAAGGAACUCGGCAAAUUGGCUCCGUAACUUAGGGAUAAGGAGCACCACUUUACUUGAUUAAUAGCAAGUAAAGGAGGUAGCAUAAAAUCGUGUUGUACGACUGUUUAAUUAAAACACAGCACUUCGCUAAAAGGAAACUUGAUGUAUUGAGUGUGAUGUCUGCCCGAUGCUAUAAGUAUAAACAUUUAACUUAACUAUAAUAGGUUAAGCGAUAAUUAACCUGUAGUCAAUGGCGGCCUUAACUAUGAGGGUCCUAAGGUAGCGGAAUACCCUGGCCGUUAAAUGCGGUCUUGCAUGAAUGAUUUAACGAUACAACAGCUGUCUCUAUAAUUGGCUCAGUGAAAUUGGAAUAACUGUGAAGAUACAGUUUACCUCUAGAUAGACGAGAAGACCCUAUGCAGCUUUACUGCGACUAGUUAUAGGGUAUAAUGUAAUGGGUUAUUAGAGUAUAAGGUAAUUUAUUUACAGUUGAAACACCUUUACACCAUUUUUAUACUUUUUACCUCUAUAGGUACAAUUGCUAGGGGGCAGUUUAUGCGGGGCACAGAUCCCAUAAAAAGUAACUGGGAAUAUCCAAUGUUAGUCUAGUAAAUUAAAAAAUAAUAGAUUAUUAUUUUUUAUAUUUAACUUGUUAUUAGUUAUAUUAAUAUUUCUAACUCAACUAUUAUCCUAUUCAUUUAGGGUUAUAAUUUUUAUUUAAGUAAGAUUUUAGCUAUCAAAAUGUAGCGAUAAAAUAAACAUUAGCUUUAGUAAUGUUUUUUGUUGUUAAUUCUUAUUAACGAUUUUUAUUAAUAUCAGACAAAGCUUAAUGGUUUAAUCUUGCUAUACUGUUUAACUUACACGUUAUUCAGUCGCGUAAAGCGGGGCAUAUGAUCACAAGAUGCAGAAAGGAAAGGUCUUGGAUUAUUGAAAAAGCUACGCUAGGGAUUAAGUCUUAGUCCUCCUUAGUAAUACAAUUACAGGUAAUAAACUGGACAAAUUUCAAAAAAUACUAUAAAGUAGAUUUGAAGCGAAACAUCCUUAAGGAUGAACGUUCAACGACUAAUGUUUUACAUCCAGCUUUUGUAAUUUAUUGUUUCCAUAUUUGCUAUCAAUUUUAUAAGCUUAUUAUAAGCUAAUGAUUUAUGCUAAUGUU
rnacentral:rRNA from 1 species